UGUACAGAUGUAUACAAAAUCGCGAGUGUAUAUUUGUUCGGCUUUCUAUUUUAUUUUACAAUACUUUUUUGGCACACGUGACCUUCCAUAGAUGGUCCUCCCUUCCUGCGCCCCGUUUUCUCCCACAGAGUGAGACCUCCUGCUCGCUGCUCCUGUCUCUGCAGCUGUAGUCGCUUCAGUUCCUGGACACCUCACAUAUUACACGAAGUAUUCUUCUCCUCCUGAUGAUCCCGGUGGGUCCUCCGGUUGUUCCUCCGCAGCCUCUUCUCUCCUCCAGCCCAGUAUUUGUCGGACGGCCCCGGCGCUUUAGGCCGCGCAGUACGCCGGAGAACGGGAGCUCCGGUGGGGUCUAAACUGAGAGCGUGGCUAGCUGGUGGGCUAGCGGAGUGUUAGCCGAGCAGGCAGCGGUGUAAAGGCUCGGUUCGUAGGGCAGCAAAGUUAGCGCAGCAUGGCCGUGGGGAACCUCAGCAAGACGGGAGAGGAGAAGACAGCGAGCCGCGGUCAGAGUGAAGUUAACAGACGGUUGAAGUACAUCAGCCUGGCCGUGCUCGUGGUCCAGAAUGCAUCGCUCAUCCUCAGCAUCCGGUACGUCCGCACGUUGCCAGGCGACCGCUUCUUCACCACGUCGGCCGUGGUGAUGGCGGAGGUCCUGAAGGUCCUGACGUGUCUGGUCAUCAUCCUACUGCAGAAGAGAUUAAACGUGAAGGAGAUGGUGUACUUCCUGAUUGACGUCAUCGUGGUUCAGUACAAAGACACUCUGAAGCUCGCCGUUCCUUCUCUCAUCUACACUCUGCAGAACAACCUGCAGUACGUGGCCAUCUCCAACCUGCCGGCCGCCACCUUCCAGGUGACAUACCAGCUGAAGAUCCUCACCACGGCUCUGUUCAGCGUGCUUAUGCUCAGGAAGUCUCUGUCCAGAGUUCAGUGGAUUUCUCUGCUGCUGCUGUUUGCUGGAGUCGCCAUCGUGCAGGUGCAGCAGGAGGGCAACAAAGAGGCGUCGGUGAAGGACACCUCCAAUCAGAACUACACCGUCGGCUUGGUUGCCGUGGUGAUCAGCUGCUUGUCGUCGGGAUUUGCCGGCGUAUACUUUGAGAAGAUCCUGAAGGGCAGCUCCGCCUCCGUGUGGGUGAGGAACGUGCAGCUGGGGAUCUUCGGCACAGCGCUCGGGCUGCUGGGACUUUGGUGGAAUGACGGCGCCGCCGUUGCCGAGCGCGGCUUCCUGUUCGGCUACACCAGCAUGGUGUGGUGCGUCAUCUUCAACCAGGCGUUCGGCGGGCUGCUGGUGGCCGUGGUGGUGAAGUACGCCGACAACAUCCUCAAGGGCUUCGCCACCUCCUUCUCCAUCAUCGUCUCCACAGUGACAUCCAUCUACCUGUUCGGCUUCCACGUGGACAUACUCUUCACUGCGGGGGCGGGGCUUGUCAUCGGCGCAGUCUACAUGUACAGCCUCCCCAAAGCGCCCGGCAGCUCGGCAUCCCCGAGCUCCUCCUCCUCCUCGUCUUCCUCGUCCGAGAAGACGGACAGAGACGCCGAGAUGGAGGCGUUUCUGCCAAAGUCAGUGCUGGUGAAGUGAUUCCUGUUUCUCUCUGCUCUCUCUCUCUUUCGGGCAUCUCACUUCCUGUGUGCUCUUGGUGGGGUCAGAGGUCAAACUGGGCAUCUAUCAGAAAGAAAGAGGUUCAUCUGCUGCUCGCUCACCUGCUUCCUCACCCCUCUGACGGCCUCCCGAAUCAUCCUCCUCCUGACGUCCUGCUCGCCUUUUCCACACCUCCUCCUGCGCUCAGCCCUCCCUCCUGGCCUCCUUCUUUCCUUCACCUCCUAACUUCCUCGUCUCAUUGGACUAUAGGAUACUGCACUUUCUUCUCCUCCUCCUUUCUCCUUUCUCUGCACCCCUGAACAAAAAACACACACCUCCUUGCUUCCUUUCUCCUCCUCCAGUAAUGUAAAGGAGGAGAAGAUGGCCUCCUCAGACCUAAAAACUAAACCACAUGCAUUGUGAUGCAGAGGAGAGCUGCUCCCUCCUGUAACGUCCUCCUUUUUGGAGGAUGAGAGGAGCUCAGGGAGGCGUGUCUCCUCCCUCUGCUGUCCACAUCACAACCUAACUGCUCAAAGCACAACGGCAGCAAGAGGAAGAGAAGGAGGAGGAUGAGGAAGGAGCAGCAGAGUGUCAGAAACCCUCACCACCCUCAGUCUGUUUUCUCCUCUGCGGCGUCUCGCCGGCUCUGCCUUAAAACUCUUUAGUAAAUGAAAAGAGAACCGCCUUACGCUGAAUAUCGAUCAUAUGUUGAUUAUUGUUGUUGCUGGUGGAGGACAACGGCAACCGUAGCCUGAUCGAAAGUUUUCACUGUGCAGCCCCCGUACAUUUAAAUUCCACCUUAAAACAGGAAAAAGGGACAGUUUCUAUGGCAGCCCAAAGUGUUCAAGCAAAAAUGUAACUUUGAAUAAGUUCUUUACAUGUUUGUAUACAAAAUUUACACAGAAGUAAAGUAGCUUGAAGUGAUGUAAGAACUUUUCAAAUUGAAAGCACAUUUUUAACCUAAAGGAAGUUCAGUGUAAAUUACAAGAAUUUAAAAUAAAAACGCAGCAUUUGUAAAUAAAAGUCACAUAAAUCGAAGCAGAAUCAGAAAGUGACAUUUAGAAAGAUGAAGUGAUAAAAGUGUCAUUAUGAAAUGCAUUUUUCCCUCAAGGAAGACAAAACCACAACAUUUAAUUAAAUCCAGUCAAAAGGUAAAUUAAAAAAUCAACAUUUUGAAACUUGAAAGUUAUUUAGUCUUAUUCUAUUUUUCUGCAAUAAUCAGAAAUGAACUAAAGUCAUUUAUCUGGGCUGUAAUGAGUUUUUGGCUCAUUUGUAGUCGUCUUCACGGCAGCUGGUAUGUUGACUGUUCUUGACUAAAAAAGCUAAAUAUGUGGAGAAAACAUAGUAAUAAUGACUAAAACCAUAAAUAACUCUUUGCUUUUGUUCAGACCUUCCUUUUUUGUCUCUAAUUCUGAAGUUCUCUCAGAAGUCUGCUUCCUGUUUGCCGUCGUUGUUGCCCGUUUACUUUUCUCGGCUGCACAGUGAAAACCUCCGGGGUAAAUCGUUGCUCCUCCGGGUGCGUCUCCGCUGAGGGACUGUUUGUGUUGGUGCCUUUUCUCCUCAUCUGUACAGAAGCCAUACGACUGUGUUGGUGUAAAGUUUGCAGUGUACAGUUACGGGACUCUCCGGGAGGCUUUGCUUUAUCUGCAGCUCCCGUGUCGGCGGGAGCGGGGAAUGUGCUCGUUGAUUGGAGCACCUUUAAACUACGAUCAUAGCGUGAUGUUUGUUUGUUUUUGCCAAAAUGUCCUGCCGCAGGCGUCUUGUUGAAGAAGGCGUCCUGCGGUGGCGUCCUGAAUGUUUUUUCUGCUCCUCCUGUUUGUCUCGAUCACGUCGAGGCAGUCGUGGAUUUUUAUUUUUGUGUGUGUGUCCGAGCUGCUUCUCGGUGUUUACGUUGUUCAGCUUUGGGAGGAGAGGUUGAGUCGUUUUGGUCUCCUGAUCUCUGCAGCAGGUUAAGAUUCUGUGAUUACAGUAAGUUUUGUUUUUCCUCACAUCCACCACCGUCACCGUGUAGCAGUUUGCCCCUGUUGUUGUUUAUUUAAAUCCUGCCAGCACUUGAUUUAACCCCGUCUCUUCACGCUGGCCUGUUUGAGCCCCCGAUUGGACUGAUUGAUCUGUUAACACUCUGUUAUAAGCCAAUUACAUUAGCCAUCAAAGCACCUGUGUGGAUGGUUUAAAGUUGGAGUAAAGAAAAAGCUCUAAAUUAAAAAGGAGCUGGAAGGAAAGCUGGCUGUGUGCAGAUAAAAUGCUCCAUCUUUAAUGUUUUUAUACAGGCACAGCAUUUACUGAACUACAUUUCAUUUAAAGCAGUUUACAGGUUAUUAUUGAAAAUAUAAAUCUACUAAUAAAUCUUGUCGAUUAAGCAGCUUAGCAUAAGUUUCCGUGUGAAGUGAGAUGGUCUGCACUUCAGGCUCUUGUCACCACAGCACUGUAACUACAGCUCGUGACAAACCAAACUGCAGGAACUGUUACUGCUGCUUGUAUGAAGCACUAUAACUGUUUCAGGCUUCAUAAUACACUAUACAUAUAUGCAGUGGGAUCUGGUUAUGGAUGGAGAUGAUUGAAGGCCGCUGCUCUCACGAGUCAGCACUGAAGUCAUGUUAACACCACCCACCACUACUUUGGGCUGCAGCAGCGCCCCAUCGCUCUCUGUGCAGCAGGAAGUGGAUAAAAAGGGGAAAGGGAGAUGGAUGCUAGCAGGCAUCUGUCAUGCUCGGCUGUGUCAGAGUAAACACGUAUAACCAAAUAAACUGCGUGACAGGCCUGUGGAUGCUAACCUGCCUGAGGGGAAGGUGCACUCUGCACAUUAAUCUGGCUUCGUGUGCGUGUGUGCGUGUGUGGCGUUAAAGUGCCACACAUAAGGGGCGAAUGUAAGUGCGUCUUAGAUUCGUUGUGCGUUCCUCACAGCAGCUCUGCAGAUCUGUACAAGCUUCUUACUUAAAAAGAGUUGGGGGUUUUUUUUUCCCCUGUAGAAUAUUUUUCUUGAAAAUGUUGCCAGUUUGGACUAAAGAAGUAGUUCGAGUUCUCCUCACUUACAGUUAAACCACUCAUCUGUAGUGAUGACAAACCCUCAAAUACAAGUUCACUAACUGAACUUCUGAUAGAUGUUUUUAUUGUGUCAGGAAAAAAACCCUAAAUUAAACCUAAAGUGGGAUAAAUGUAGCUCACAGUUUAACAUUUAGAUUUAGUCUCUUUAUUUCAUGAGUUUGUGUAAAAACUCGCCCGGUGAUCAAGAAACUGACCUGAGGACGGAGAAACAAGGAGACACAAACAUGAAGCAAAAUCUCCCAAAGCAUAAAAAUGAACAUUUUUUCUGAUUUCUUAUCAUAAUGAUUGAAGGCUCUUUUUCUGUUUUCAGUGUGAGAUUAUCGAAAUCAAACUGUGAAGGGACAAAAAAUGUUACGUUUAUUUUCAGUUUUUGUAAAACAAGCAAACAAAAAACCUCCAGCUGACACUUUCUCUCUGGAAGUCUGAAACGAAUAUCUAUGAUAAAUAAUAAUAUAUAAGCUGUUUUUAUUUAAUGUGGGAAUCUUUGGGGUGGUGGUGAAUGAAAGGAAGAGGAAACCCAGCAGGAAGCUUCAGAUCUCAGCCAGAAGAAGCUUUUUGUUCGAAACUCUUCUUAUGGUAAUGACAUGAAUUUCUUGAGAAAAUGAGUCCUUUGAGUUCUGUGCGGCUAAUAAAGGAUCGUUUCUGCACUUAGUAAAUGUUAUGAAUUUUAAAUUGUAGAUGAUCAUUUUAAUCUCAAUCUGACAUUAAAAUGUCCUUAUGUAGACAUAACAGCUGAUUUAUAUCACAGGAAUUAUGAUGGGAUGUUUAUUUUUCAUUAAACAUCACAUCAUAAACUUUACAUCUUUUUUUUCAUCAAAGUUUUCUAAUGAAAAUAUAAAAUUUAAUCCCAAUUUUCUCUCUUGCAGUGGCUUUUUUCACCUUUUUAGAAUAACACAACAGAACCUUUUUUCAGACUUUAUUCUUCUUUAUUCCCUCGAGGUAGAAACGAUGAUAAACAUCUACCUCUGCUCUGUAAAUAAUCCUGUCACAACUUACAGAUUCAUAGAAAAAUAACUUGUCGUUUGUUCCUCUUUACGUUUACUUUACCUUAUUUUUCUCUACAUAAAAACUAAAAUAUUGCAAAUUAUAUUAAAUUUAUUUUAUAUAGAAAAUGAUAUUGAUACAGGCUGAUAUCACUUUAUUUAAUUACAUGAAAAUCCAUAUUUAUUUUAUUUUGUUUGAUUUUGUUUAAGCACACGUUGAAAUGCAGAUAGUUGAACUUCAGUUUCCAGCUUUUCUCUCGGCUGACGCUCUGCAGCGCCUCCUGCUGGCAGUUUCAAACCAGAUCCUCGGAUCAGAUCCUGCUGCGGUUGUUUUCCGAGGUUUGUUUGUCCUCGGUGGAGAUCUGCCUACAGGAUCUGGUUUAGUUUCAUCUUCCUGUUGGUUUGACUUUGUGUGAAAUCUGUGUGAGCGGGUUUCAUCUCUGAUCUGUUUGCACGUGAUUGUUGAUUUGUAUCAAUGCCUCUGAAUUUGUACAUACUUCCUUUGGUAAAAGUUUUAUAUAAAUGGAGACAUGGACUAAAAA